rnacentral:rRNA from 1 species
GAUGAACGCUGGCGGCGUGCCUAAUACAUGCAAGUCGAGCGAACAGACGAGGAGCUUGCUCCUCUGACGUUAGCGGCGGACGGGUGAGUAACACGUGUAUAACCUACCUAUAAGACUGGGAUAACUUCGGGAAACCGGAGCUAAUACCGGAUAAUAUAUUGAACCGCAUGGUUCAAUAGUGAAAGACGGUUUUGCUGUCACUUAUAGAUGGAUCCGCGCCGCAUUAGCUAGUUGGUAAGGUAACGGCUUACCAAGGCAACGAUGCGUAGCCGACCUGAGAGGGUGAUCGGCCACACUGGAACUGAGACAGCGUCCAGACUCCUACGGGAGGCAGCAGUAGGGAAUCUUCCGCAAUGGGCGAAAGCCUGACGGAGCAACGCCGCGUGAGUGAUGAAGGUCUUCGGAUCGUAAAACUCUGUUAUUAGGGAAGAACAAAUGUGUAAGUAACUAUGCACGUCUUGACGGUACCUAAUCAGAAAGCCACGGCUAACUACGUG